AAUAAUAAUAAUAAUAAUUUCAGUAAUAAUUUCAGUUAUUCGUUAAUAAAUUUGAUUAUGAUAGAAUUUUUGAGGUUACAGAACGAUGAAUUCUUGGGAUAUGUUCAAACUUUUGAUUGGUAAAAUCAUAUCGAGAAUAUCUAUAUUAUGAAAAUAAAUAUUAUAUAAGUAUAUUCGUCUAUCUAUUAACGAGAGUCAGUAAAAUUUUUUUCAGAUAAAAUUGCCGCGUUCUUUUGCAUUCUUUAAAGAUUCUUAGAGUCGUGCAUCUUCGUGUCACAACUGUUAUCGGUUAUCGGUUAAUUGGCUUCUUUCUUUCGACUUCGUAUAAAUACUGUAAAUAUCUUUGAAACUCAGAACCUAUAAAAAAGUGGAUUACGAAAGAGUAAUGGCACUACAUCUAUCGCAAGUGUCUCUCAAGUCGCGACAACGACUUUCUAUUUAAGUCUGUUUGGAAACUUCCUGGGCCUUUUGGUUAACAAAGCUAUUUGAAGGAUAAUUUUUUUUUUUUUAAAGAAUUUACGCUGACAAAAGAAAAAUUUUCUUUCUUUGAUAUGAGAUGUUAAAAAUAGUUUCAUGAGAAAUCUACUACAUACUUUCAUAAGACUUCAAUAUUUUAGUUAUGGAACAGAGCACAUAUAAUUCUUAAUUUAUACAACUUUGACACAUUUCUUUAUUCUUUGUAUAAAUGCCGUUGCUCUAUUGUAAUCGAAGUAAACACCGUUACUUUUUACAGUAAUCAACGUCACUAUAAGCAUUCUUUUAAUGUAUUUUGAUUUCUCAAAUAAAUCUUUCCUAUUUUUCUAAA